CCUACGGGUGGCAGCAGUGGGGAAUAUUGGACAAUGGGCGAAAGCCUGAUCCAGCCAUGCCGCGUGUGUGAAGAAGGCCUUCGGGUUGUAAAGCACUUUCAGUGGGGAAGAAAGCCUUGGGGCUAAUACCCUCGAGGAAGGACAUCACCCACAGAAGAAGCACCGGCUAACUCCGUGCCAGCAGCCGCGGUAAUACGGAGGGUGCGAGCGUUAAUCGGAAUUACUGGGCGUAAAGCGCGCGUAGGCGGUCUGAUAAGCCGGUUGUGAAAGCCCCGGGCUCAACCUGGGAACGGCAUCCGGAACUGUCGGGCUAGAGUGCAGGAGAGGAAGGUAGAAUUCCCGGUGUAGCGGUGAAAUGCGUAGAGAUCGGGAGGAAUACCAGUGGCGAAGGCGGUCUUCUGGACUGACACUGACGCUGAGGUGCGAAAGCGUGGGUAGCAAACAGGAUUAGAUACCCCUGUAGUC
rnacentral:rRNA from 1 species